rnacentral:ribozyme from 1 species
UUUAGUUUUAGCUCUGCAUGAGAUGGGAUCCGAAGCCUCUUGAGAGAUCAUAUAGGCUCUCCCAUCCAACUCCUAUUCCAACACGUCCUCGUCGUGUAGAGUGGUAACAUAUGUCCCCACAUUUCCAAGCCUGGAUACGCGGACGAAUCAGAAGGGUGGUGGGCAUCCCUGGAAACAGGGUGACUAAACGGCGGGGG